UGUAAGAAGGGCGACAAGUGCACAUGGCACAAGGGACAACAAAAAAGACAUGAGGAAGGACAAUCUGAACAUGAUGAAGACGAAGGAGAAUCUGAACAUGAUGAAGAGCAAAGAGAAUCUCGUGAACAUGACAGCGAGGCACCUGCCAAGCGGCAGCAAGAGCUUUCAGGCACUAAUCUAGGUGAUGAGGAUGAUACAAACAGUAAAGCCAACGGGACGGUGCGUCGGUCAAACAGGAAAUCAAAGACCAAUAAAGAAGACGAGUAUUCAUACUAUGAGCACGAAAAGAGGCAACUUCGUGGUCUGAAAGAAACACUACAAUGGGUAAACAGACAAGAUGAUAAAACGCCUUUGGCCCAAAUUGUUGAAAUAACACUAAAGAAACCAUCCCUGCAUUCCCUAACAGCCAAUAAGUUGCCGGACAACAAUGCCAGAUAUGUGGAUUGCUUGGUAAGUAUUUCAUGCUUCACUUAUUACAUCUGCACUGAAAUAUGCACUAAUUACUGCUCACUUGCAAUACUAGGCCAUUGAUGCUGGCAUAUAUAUCAAUCGCCCACCAGAGGGGGAGUUUGACAUAAGAGAUGGCAAAAAAAUCUUUGUCGAGAGCACAAUUAAUGUGCAAAAGCUCGUUGCAGAUAUAGAAAAUCACCAUACAGCGAGGAGUUCAAAAAUUGACAAGGCUCGUUCGAUCGAAAGGAUCAUUGCGUAUCUUGAUCAUGACAUGAUUUUUUUACCCUUGAACUCUGGACUACACUGGUAUCUGGCAGCCCUAGAUGCGGCAGAAAGAGAAGUUCAGAUUCUCAAUUCAGCCCCUGGUGUUGGUCCAACAGAUGAACUGGAUCAUGCGGUGAGAAUAUCCUUUUAUCCUCCUAGUACUACUGCAACUUGUAGGUUAUAUGCAUUACUAAAUACCAACAAACACUCUUCAGUUGGAAGCGAUAACGGCGUGGUUCCAGGAGGCUGAAGAAGAAUUAAACAACUUCCAAACCCAACAAACUGG